AACGCGAAGAACCUUACCUACCUUUGAAUCCACGGAAUCCUAUAGAGAUAUGGGAGUGCCUUCGGGAACCGUGAGACAGGUGCUGCAUGGCUGUCGUCAGCUCGUGUCGUGAGAUGUUGGGUUAAGUCCCGUAACGAGCGCAACCCUUAUCCUUAGUUACCAGCAUGUAAAGAUGGGUACUUUAAGGAGACUGCCGGUGAUAAACCGGAGGAAGGUGGGGAUGACGUCAAGUCCUCAUGGCCCUUACAGGUAGGGCUACACACGUGCUACAAUGGGCGGUACAAAGGGUAGCCAACCCGCGAGGGGGAGCCAAUCCCAAAAAGCCGUUCGUAGUCCGGAUUGGAGUCUGCAACUCGACUCCAUGAAGUUGGAAUCGCUAGUAAUCGUGGAUCAGCACGCCACGGUGAAUACGUUCCCGGGCCUUGUACACACCGAGUAUA
rnacentral:rRNA from 1 species